UACGUAGGGUGCGAGCGUUGUCCGGAAUUAUUGGGCGUAAAGAGCUUGUAGGCGGUCUGUCGCGUCUGCUGUGAAAAUCCGGGGCUCAACCCCGGACUUGCAGUGGGUACGGGCAGACUAGAGUGUGGUAGGGGAGACUGGAAUUCCUGGUGUAGCGGUGAAAUGCGCAGAUAUCAGGAGGAACACCGGUGGCGAAGGCGGCUCUCUGGACCGAGACUGACGCUGAGGCGCGAAAGCGUGGGGAGCAAACAGG
rnacentral:rRNA from 1 species